CCAGGUAAAUCCGGUUCACUUUAACACUGAGGCGUGACGACGAGGCACUACGGUGCUGAAGCAACAAAUGCCCUGCUUCCAGGAAAAGCCUCUAAGCAUCAGGUAACAUCAAAUCGUACCCCAAACCGACACAGGUGGUCAGGUAGAGAAUACCAAGGCGCUUGAGAGAACUCGGGUGAAGGAACUAGGCAAAAUGGUGCCGUAACUUCGGGAGAAGGCACGCUGACACGUAGGUGAAGUGAUUUACUCAUGGAGCUGAAGUCAGUCGAAGAUACCAGCUGGCUGCAACUGUUUAUUAAAAACACAGCACUGUGCAAACACGAAAGUGGACGUAUACGGUGUGACGCCUGCCCGGUGCCGGAAGGUUAAUUGAUGGGGUCAGCGCAAGCGAAGCUCCUGAUCGAAGCCCCGGUAAACGGCGGCCGUAACUAUAACGGUCCUAAGGUAGCGAAAUUCCUUGUCGGGUAAGUUCCGACCUGCACGAAUGGCGUAAUGAUGGCCAGGCUGUCUCCACCCGAGACUCAGUGAAAUUGAACUCGCUGUGAAGAUGCAGUGUACCCGCGGCAAGACGGAAAGACCCCGUGAACCUUUACUAUAGCUUGACACUGAACAUUGAGCCUUGAUGUGUAGGAUAGGUGGGAGGCUUUGAAGUGUGGACGCCAGUCUGCAUGGAGCCGACCUUGAAAUACCACCCUUUAAUGUUUGAUGUUCUAACGUGGACCCGUUACCCGGGUUGCGGACAGUGUCUGGUGGGUAGUUUGACUGGGGCGGUCUCCUCCUAAAGAGUAACGGAGGAGCACGAAGGUUGGCUAAUCCUGGUCGGACAUCAGGAGGUUAGUGCAAUGGCAUAAGCCAGCUUGACUGCGAGCGUGACGGCGCGAGCAGGUGCGAAAGCAGGUCAUAGUGAUCCGGUGGUUCUGAAUGGAAGGGCCAUCGCUCAACGGAUAAAAGGUACUCCGGGGAUAACAGGCUGAUACCGCCCAAGAGUUCAUAUCGACGGCGGUGUUUGGCACCUCGAUGUCGGCUCAUCACAUCCUGGGGCUGAAGUAGGUCCCAAGGGUAUGGCUGUUCGCCAUUUAAAGUGGUACGCGAGCUGGGUUUAGAACGUCGUGAGACAGUUCGGUCCCUAUCUGCCGUGGGCGCUGGAGAACUGAGGGGGGCUGCUCCUAGUACGAGAGGACCGGAGUGGACGCAUCACUGGUGUUCGGGUUGUCAUGCCAAUGGCACUGCCCGGUAGCUAAAUGCGGAAGAGAUAAGUGCUGAAAGCAUCUAAGCACGAAACUUGCCCCGA
rnacentral:rRNA from 3 species